rnacentral:rRNA from 1 species
GACGAACGCUGGCGGCGUGCCUAAUACAUGCAAGUUGAGCGCUGAAGGUUGGUACUUGUACCAACUGGAUGAGCAGCGAACGGGUGAGUAACGCGUGGGGAAUCUGCCUUUGAGCGGGGGACAACAUUUGGAAACGAAUGCUAAUACCGCAUAAAAACUUUAAACACAAGUUUUAAGUUUGAAAGAUGCAAUUGCAUCACUCAAAGAUGAUCCCGCGUUGUAUUAGCUAGUUGGUGAGGUAAAGGCUCACCAAGGCGAUGAUACAUAGCCGACCUGAGAGGGGGAUCGGCCACAGUGGGACUGAGACACGGCCCAAACUCCUACGGGAGGCAGCAGUAGGGAAUCUUCGGCAAUGGACGAAAGUCUGAACGAGCAACGCCGCGUGAGUGAAGAAGGUUUUCGGAUCGUAAAACUCUGUUGGUAGAGAAGAACGUUGGUGAGAGUGGAAAGCUCAUCAAGUGACGGUAACUACCCAGAAAGGGACGGCUAACUACGUG